GACGAACGCUGGCGGCGUGCUUAACACAUGCAAGUCGAACGGAAAGGCCCUGCUUUUGUGGGGUGCUCGAGUGGCGAACGGGUGAGUAACACGUGAGUAACCUGCCCUUGACUGUGGGAUAACUUCAGGAAACUGGGGCUAAUACCGGAUAGGAGCUCCUGCUGCAUGGUGGGGGUUGGAAAGUUUCGGCGGUUGGGGAUGGACUCGCGGCUGAUCAGCUUGUUGGUGGGGUAGUGGCUUACCAAGGCUUUGACGGGUAGCCGGCCUGAGAGGGUGACCGGCCACAUUGGGCCUGAGAUACGGCCCAGGCUCCUACGUGAGGCAACAGUGGGGAAUUUUGCACAAUGGGCGGAGGCCUGAUGCAGCAACGCCGCGUGCGGGAUGACGUCCUUCGGGUUGUAAACCGCUUUCGCCUGUGACGAAGCGUGAGUGCCUGUAAUGGGGAAAGAAGCACCGGCUAACUACGU
rnacentral:rRNA from 1 species